rnacentral:rRNA from 1 species
GGAGUUUGGACCGUGUCUCAGUUCCAAUGUGGGGGACCUUCCUCUCAGAACCCCUACUGAUCGUCGCCUCGGUGGGCCGUUACCUCGCCGACAGGCUAAUCAGACGCAUCCCCAUCCCUUACCGAUGAAUCUUUGCUCCUCGUUAGAUGCCUGCAAAGGAGAACAUAGAGUAUUAAUCCGACUUUCGCCGGGCUAUCCUCUAGUAAGGGGAAGGUUGGAUACGCGUUACUCACCCGUGCGCCGGUCGCCAGCAAAGAUAGCAAGCUAUCUCCCUCGCUGCCCCUCGACUUGCAUGUGUUAAGCCUGUAGCUAGCGUUCAUC